rnacentral:tRNA from 1 species
AUAGUUAAUAAAAACAAUAAGUUAAAAUCUACUUCACCAACUCAUAAUCCCUUGGUCCCAGGUUCGAGUCCUGGUGGGCCCACCA